rnacentral:tRNA from 1 species
AGCUCAGUGAGUAGAGUGCUUGCCUAGCAUGCAUGAAGCCCUGGGCUCGAUUCCCAG